ACAGGUAUGGCUGAGUUGGAUAAAGCACCAGAACUCUAACAAAACAUCUGACUCUGAGAUUAGAUUGAGUGAGGGUUUACCUUGAGGUCGUGGGUUCAAGUCCUACGGGUUGUA